GGGAAACUGCAAGUGGCGCCGUUUCUGACCGUGUAUUUCCCUUCGAUCUCGCCAUUCCUUGCCCGUCUUGUAUAAAACUGGACGAAGCACCUGGCAUUAACCCGCUCCUCUUUUCUGAUGAGAAUGGAAUGGAAUCCUAUUUGAUUUAACGAAGAUUUCUAACUCUUAUGAUAUGGAAUUUUUCCAAAAUAAGCUCUCUAGAACUACUACUUCCUUGAUCUUUAUAGUUGAUCUUAAAUCUUCUUCUCUACUGAUCAAGAGCAAAAGAUGUCUGAAUGACAAAGAAAUGUUUCUGCUUCAAAGGAUUUUCUUUAUUUCUUUUGAAACACACCAAGUAUAAGUGCUUAUAAACAAAUUUGGAGACCAAACCUUGGAAAACAGAAUACAUGUAUUUUUUUUAAUACAAUACAAAUACAAUUUGCUAAUAUACAGUAAGUAAAUUUGAAUUAAAUUGCUUCUUGUAACUGAUUUAGCUUAUGAGUUUGACUUAAACAUACAUAAUAAUGAAGCAUUAAAUCUUUGACAUUGCUAACAGAGGGAACAUUCAGGUUAUGGAGACUUGAAAGUGAAGUCUGACAUCAGGUCUCUGUCCCCAUUUGUCCCAGCCUUCUUUGCUGAUAUUUUAUGAAUCGCAGCAGAUUUCACCACAGAAAACUUUAAAAUGAAAGUAGCAAGAUGAAUGUGGGUGGAUUCAAAGGAUUUUCAGUCUCCAACUUUCCAACAUUUCCUUCAUCUGGAAAAAAAACACCUUAAAGCAGCCACUUGAAAACUUUUUUUCAUGUGUCUUCCUGCUGGUCUGCAGCAGGCAAGUUUUGUAUUAGAAUCAGGGAAUGUUUUUAUUGCUUUUUCAUGUUUUGUUAGAUAUACUUUAGCAAGACUGGAUUUAGCAUUUCUUGUUCACAUUCUUGACUGUCAAGAAUGUCAAGUGUAGGGUUCUCUUAUGCAACCCUCCUGUUAAUCUCACAAUAAAGUUAUAGCUUCCCAUAGAUAAAAGAAAUUUCUUUAUGGAUUGAAAGAUACUGAUAGAAAGAAAAUGCAAU